UACGGGGGGGGCAAGCGUUGUUCGGAAUUACUGGGCGUAAAGGGUUCGUAGGUGGCUUGCUAAGUCAGACGUGAAAUCCCUCAGCUUAACUGGGGAACUGCGUCUGAUACUGGCGAGCUUGAGUGCAGGAGAGGAACGCGGAAUUCCAGGUGUAGCGGUGAAAUGCGUAGAUAUCUGGAGGAACACCGGUGGCGAAGGCGGCGUUCUGGACUGCAACUGACACUGAUGAACGAAAGCCAGGGGAGCAAACGGG
rnacentral:rRNA from 1 species